rnacentral:sRNA from 1 species
UUGCAUUAGCGAUUGCAGUGGUAUCCUUUUUUGAAGUGCUACUGAAAAAAAGAUAGAACGAAAAGCGCGGCCCGCC